GGCUCUAUGGUCUAGUGGUAUGAUUGUCGCUUUGGGAUUGAUUCUUGACUGUGACAGGCUUCGGGUUCGAAUCCCGAUGGAGCCC
rnacentral:tRNA from 1 species